AGGUGCGAUCAUACCAGCACUAAUGCACCGGAUCCCAUCAGAACUCCGCAGUUAAGCGUGCUUGGGCGAGUGUAGUACUGGGAUGGGUGACCUCCUGGGAAGUCCUUGUGUUGCACCUC
rnacentral:rRNA from 1 species